UGCAGAGCAACGCAUUUGUCGCCUGGAUGGAUGAGAAAAUGUUAGAAGUGGUAAAAUAAGGGAAAGUGGGUGAAUUAGACAGCGAGGCACGGGGGGUUGAAAGUUGUGUCUUCAUUUAUUCCAUGUCAGAAACUUUGCACGCGACUGCAGAGCAAUGGAAAAUCCAGAGAAGCGACGUUAGGGAAUAGAGAACGAAAUGACACACUGAGAAGAAUGGGAACUAAUGUCCCAAAAGUGAUUAUAAUAAUAUGUUAAAUGAAUAACAAGUAAGGGUAAUGUUCUUUAUCGGUACAAUGGAAUCUAGGAAAAUGUAAAGACAAGAUAUUUCCAUCUUUCGCAGCUUUCAGCAAUGCUUUUCCUUGUGCAACGGAUUUUACUCAUUCUUUUCUGAUGGUUUUCAUGAUGUUCAUUCUGGGGAUGCCUAGGAGGGAUCAUCGUCUUACAUGCAAAUGACUUUUCCCAGCUUUCCCCGUCCCUAUUGCAGUUUUGCAGCCAUUGUUCCAUGUUACCAUUCGUCUUAAUGGACAAGUUAACGUUAAAUGUUAAUUAAAUAUGCGUACGUGCGCAAUGCGAAGGGUUUAAGCAGGAUGAAGCGUCUGCAAAGGGACCUCAAUUUAAAUGUGAAAAUGCUGGCAGUGUGCUGUCAAAUGUCCUUGGCCACCUGGGGUGUCCUCGUUCUCGCCUUGGCACUUCCUUUUCGGGCGUUUUUAUUGCGGUUUUCACCCGUAUGUGGCUUCGUCCUCUCAUGCUGGCCACAUCCUUCCUGGCCAUCUGUGCUUCCUCGAAAUGAAAAAAAUAUGCUAAAAAACUGCCGGUCACACACAGCCACAGCUACAGACACAGGAACAGUCACAGACAGGCCAUCGAAAUGCAAUUUUAAAGCGAAAAAGAGGAGCGGAGAAAUGCCUCCAAAGAGGACUCCCCCGGCGGUCCAGUGAUGUCCCUUCCUGGCCACAGCGAUAAUCGGAUUUCCCAUCCUUUUCGCCAUCCCCGGCAUUAAGCGCCUUGGCCGCUUUAGCUCCUUAUUCACGAAGCUGGUGGAAUUAUUUAAAUUUCAUCUGAACGCCACCACUAAAUAGGCUUUCAUUUUGAAGAAGGACUGCCAAUGGGGCAUGAGAAAUGCAAAAUAUGGCACAUCAUCUUCUUGAGCUCAAGUUUUAGUUUAUAUACCAUGAAAUGCUACAAAAAAAACCGAGACAUUAAAAUAAAGACAGCAAAUUAAUUUUCGUCGGAAACAUACCUCUGUAAAAGCCUAUUAUAAUUACAACUUCGCAAAAAGCAUUUCUUGAAGCCAAAUCAUAGGGAACAUGGGCACACUGCAAUAUACAUACAUACAUAUGUAUGUAGGUAAAUAAAUUCCGCUAAUUAGGUUAGAUCCGCCCAUAUAGAGGCCUGGCCCGCAGAAUCUUAUAUAAAUUCUCCUCAAGCGCAGUGCCCAACUUGGCUGGCCCUUAAAGUUGGAAACUGAUCACAAAAUUUUGGCUUUUGGACAAUUUAAACGCCAAAGACCAUUAUGAGAAAACAAUACGCAGGCGCAGCUGAUUUUGAUUGACAUACAAAAAAAGGCCCCUGCACACCGCAUGAUCUAUAACAUAUAACAGUGGGCUGUUAUGCGCCUAACAUCGAUUAUUAAAAUCUGUAGAAAGCAAGCACGUGAAAUCGAUAAUAAGCCAAAGCUUAUCAAAUAUUUUUCGUACAUAGUUUGGUUGUUUUUAAAUCAAUUUGUUUUUGAUUUUUAGCUGUUUUUACUCUCCGUACAAAAUUAAAACGUUACAACCCUGAUCCAAAAUACGAAAACUCGAGUUUGGAGUAAUCGUAUUUGCACCACAUCAAUAAUCGAUUUCUAAAGCGAUAACAUCGCUCAGCUCUUCACAUUGAAGUGCAGUGUGCCAACGACUACCACGUUUUUUCUGGACAAUUCCUAAGAAUUCAAUCAGCGAUGGAUGUUCCAGUAUGCCGUGCGUGCAUGGGGCUUACCCAAAACAUGACCAACAUUUUUGAGACUAAGCACGAGUCGGGCAUUCCAAUCGCCGAUGUGAUUACCAAGUGCACUGGAAUUUCAGUUAAGAGACAGCCAGAAUAUCCCGAAGUGAUUUGCUCGUGCUGCCUGAAGAAGGCCAAUAAUGCCUUUGAAAUAAUUGAAACCUAUGAGAGGAGCUAUGAGGCGCUGUGCAAGAGAGUACAGGAGAAGCAGCAAACUCAAAUUCAGAAGGAGCAGUGAUACAUAUAUAUACGUAUACAUAUGUAUACCCAGUUGGUUGUCAAAAAACAUUUGAAAGAAUAAAAACCUGAUCUCAGCUCGUUUCAAGCAUAA